GUGCAAAGGGGCUGGAAUAUGGGACAAGAACAGACCUUGGAGCUGUAGAGAAUUGAUUGCUUCAAGUUCUUCAUUAAAUUGAGAAAGUAAGUAAAUUCUGCACUUUUUCGUCUGGACCUGUCUUCAGUAAUCGAAUCAUAGCUGACAAACCGUACAUCCGUUUUGAAUAGUACUUACAUGUCUGGAAAGCCGACGAAAUAACCGUCGUCUCGGUGUCAACCACGUAUAAUUUGGAUCAAUAUUGAGGCCUGGAGACGCCUUUGAAGUUGGAGCUCUGAUGCAGAAUUAUGCAGAAAAUUCUGAUUAUGGGUUUAUAGCAUUUCAGUUGCAAAUUAUGCGUUUCGACGAGCUCUGAAAGUGUCGCUGGUAUUGUUCAAGCUUCUUUUCAGGUGGGUUCCCUUAGAGACUUAAAUUCUAGUUAGUUUAGCUCCAUUAGUUUCCCCAAAUAAAAUAAAUGCAUGAUAACAAUAGUUCAGUUAGAAUAUUAGUUCCCCAAUUUAUCAAUUGCAUGACAAUACUAGGAUUUAAGGAAUUUAUUGUGUGAGAAUGGUUAAAUCCCAAACUAUUCUCCGUUCUGAAUAUAUGAACUAAUUAUAGUGUCUAAAAUUAGGAAGAUAUGGAUUGUAGGUGAUUAUUGGCUUGAUUUCUCAGAAAAAUGCAAACAGGGUUCUGUACUGAUGUACUCACUUAACGAGGAAUGACUUCGUUGGGCGAGAGUGUCAGAAUAGAACACUGCAGAAUUUUACUUUAAUUGCUAAGUCACUCGUUUAUAUUCCUAUUCUUCCUGAUGUAUUUUUGUAGACACUGUAACAUCUUUGCAUAUAUAGAAUGUUAAUCACACCUCAGGAAAUUAAGUAUCAUGAAUCAGGACAGUUUAUAGAUACCCUGGGAGGGAAUUCAUCGGCAGGAUAACAAUCAGGAUUAUUAAGUUAAGAAAGUCAAUCAAUUAUGGUGGUUACUUAUGUACCACGUUAUGGGAUUCGUUAGAAUCCAAUCAUGUUAUGAUUGUGAGCUGAUCAGCCGUGUCGAUGUACAUUAUUAUCGCAGACGGACAUGUUAGGCCUCUGAGACCGGCUCACCUUAGAGUGUCUUUGUUAUGAAUAAAACGAACAAGAUAAAUAAUUUGUGUUACACCUUUAUGUAUUAUGUUAUGAAAUUAUGUUAUGUAAAUCAUGUUUAGAGAUUGACUAUCAGGAUCAGAGAACUAUUAGUUCGUCAGUUACCCCGGUAUAGACACCAAUAGUAAUUGGGUAGUAGGAAUCCACUGAGACGAAGUGACUGUCUCAUCCCCAACUUAUUUGAUUUCAGAUAAACAGGUUGAUCAAGAUAUCAUGGUCUGCAAGCAUGGAGUUCAGAUACUUGGAUUAUGCUAGUUGAGCUGACGUCAUGUNN
rnacentral:lncRNA from 1 species